UCGGGAAUUUUGGGCAAUGGGCGAAAGCCUGACCCAGCAACGCCGCGUGUGGGAUGAAGGCCCUCGGGUCGUAAACCACUGUCAGGAGGAAAGAAAAGUCGGCCGGAUAAUACUCGGUCGACCUGACGGUACCUCCAAAGGAAGCACCGGCUAACUCCGUGCCAGCAGCCGCGGUAAUACGGAGGGUGCAAGCGUUGUUCGGAAUUACUGGGCGUAAAGCGCGUGUAGGUGGUCGAGUAAGUCGAAUGUGAAAGCCCCGGGCUCAACCCGGGAAGUGCAUCCGAAACUGCUCGACUAGAGUCCCGGAGAGGAAGGCAGAAUUCCCAAUGUAGGGGUGAAAUCCGUAGAUAUUGGGAGGAAUACCGGUGGCGAAGGCGGCCUUCUGGACGGUGACUGACACUCAGACGCGAAAGCGUGGGGAGCAAACAGGAUUAGAUACCCCCGUAGUCCCUGAGCGGGCUGGCAAGGCGCAU
rnacentral:rRNA from 1 species